ACAUCUCAACUCUCACGGUUUGCCGUGACGAGCUUGGACUUUGGGGGACUUGCUGGCCUACGGUCGGCUCUCCUCAAAUGGAUUAGCUUUCCAGUGUUUGGUGGCGUCACGGGCGUGAUAAAUAUCUACGCUUGUGGUUUUCCGCCAGGUAACCUUCAGUGAUGGGGGUUCGCUGGGGCUCAUAAACGUCUCUCCUCGGCGAAGACAGCUUUGUGAAC
rnacentral:misc_RNA from 1 species